rnacentral:tRNA from 1 species
UUUUAAAUAGUUUAAAAUAAAACAUUGAUUUGUGGUAUCAAAAAUAUUUAAAAAAAUUUUAAAUUUAGAAA